AACGCACAUUGCACUCUUUGGUAUUCCGAAGAGUAUGCCUGUUUGAGAACCGUUAAAUCCUCACUAUUUGUUACUUUUUCUCACGAGAAAGGAACGUAAUGGUGGAUAUGGUUUGUCCCUCUGUAGAAAAUAGGGGGUAAACUGAAACACAGAUGGCACGGAGCUUUCUUUUUGCUGAGAAACGCUUUUCUUUGUUGCAGUUAUUGAUCAAUCAUCAAUUGGAUACAAUGUGAGAGGGGAAACACACGUUUCUCCUUUCCUUUCUUCCAAUGGGUUGUCAAAAAUGGCAUUAAAAAACAAGGAAAAUACACAGUGUGAAGGCAAAUAUUGCAGAGUACACGUCCUUUUUAUUAUAACAUGCGAGGCGCUUGCUUCAACUACGAACAAGCGAACACCUCUUAUUUUGGUCUCAAAUCAUGCAAGAAAACCCGCUGAACUUAA
rnacentral:misc_RNA from 1 species